CACAUACCUUCCAUUGAAUUCAGGUACAUUUAAAUACAAUACUGGUGUAUUAACCACCUACCUAAUAAUAAGGAAAUAACUUCCUACUAAAAACUGAACAGAGAAAUUGGAGGAAUUACCUCUUUACUGCAAUCAACUGCUACAAACUGAAAUAAUCUACUUCUAAUUUCUUUAAACUUUCCAUGUGUAAAUCGUUGGUAGACUAAAGGGGUGCUAACAGAGUAGGUGUCUGGCCUUGUACUCUUUUCUGUACCAUCUUGGUACCAUUAUAAUAAAAUCUUUACCUAUAAAAAAUGGCUUUUGAAGGUUUGGUAGUUUGCAUCACAGCUUCUAUUUUGCCUUAUCUAUAGUGAACCCGAAUUUAUAUUCUCUUUCUUGCUUCUAUUCACUCCAUCUUAUGUACCUAAUCGCAUAAGAAACCUUUAUUAGCUAGACAGUUCGCUUAGUAAAAAUGGAAGUCUUGUACUUUGGAGUAUACGUAAUCCUUUUUGUGUGGCCUUCUUGUUUUGGGUUUGGUUGGAUGCAAAGGCAGUUGGCAUUCUUAGAUUUUACUGAGGCUUUCUUCUUAGAUUUCUAGAUACUGAAUACCGUACACACAUUCUGACUUUAUUCUUUGUUGUUAAUGGAUUUGAACAUAAUACCAGGGCAAUAGAAUUUUGCUAACCUGGCCACGACCCAAAAACAAUGAAAAAUGUAGGAAGCACAUUGCAUAUUCUACAAGUUAAGCAUAGAUCAAAGACAUUGACUGUCAGUAAAUCAUAGAAAGCAAAAUGUAGGAAAAUACUGUUCAAUGCAAUAGACAUCUUACAGCAGACCAUAAACCUCAAGAUCCAGUAAAAAGUUCUUACUUGCAUGUUAUGUUUACAUGAGCAAUUAGCAAAGCUUCUUAACAAGAAUCACUGUUUAAGAGUUAUGAUUUAUAUAUUAACAUAUUCAGCCUAAUUUAAGAGUCAUGAUUUAUAUUUUCUUACUAUCUUUGGUGUCUAGAAUGCGUCAAACCUAAUCUGAUCUAAUUGCUAAAUAUGCAGUUGCUGGUGGAUUGGACUCGAGGAAAGAAUCUUCUUUUCUCCAGUGCUGCUCCUUCUGUAACAGAACUUAGAGGGCCGUAUGAUGUAGCGAAUAUGGCAUCUUAGCUUGGUCUCCAACUGGAACGUGCUAAAGCAGCGCUUUCCAAAAAUUGUAGGACUGUUAUAACUAACGCGUUAAGGAAAAAGUGUUACCACAAGGACACAAUUAAGGUUGAACCGAUAACGUCAGGCUUCAAGGAACCUGAAUUUGAUGAUUGGCUUAAGUGGGAUCCUAUCUCUGGUGGUGAGGGUGAUUUGCUGUUAGAAGACAUCAAAAAAUCUUUUUCUGUCCAAAAAUUUAUCAAAACCUGUGAAACGCAUUGAGUUUAGUUCCAUUGUGAAUAACCUGCCUGCACAUGGACUCCAGAUUAAAGAUUUGCUAUCUUCGACAGUGUCGGAGCAGGUGCCUAUGGAUACUAUUGCUCUUGCAAGUUCGAGGGUAUCACAAUAACCACGUGGUGUCGAUCUUCUGCCUGAAGAAUGCUCAACUGUAGAAGAUGAUCCGCAUAAAAGCCAACAAGGUUCUCUUUCUGAAGAAGUUAGGGUGCCAUGGUUGUCCAUUGCUCCUCUAAAUGAUGCUGGUAAUUUGGGAAAAGAAAAGGAGAACCAUAGGAUUUAUAAUGAGGAUAUACAAUUUACAGUGAAGUUGGACAUAAAAGAUACAUCUGGGACCAAAAUGCAU